AUUGAACGCUGGCGGCAUGCUUUACACAUGCAAGUCGAACGGCAGCAUGGGCUUCGGCCUGAUGGCGAGUGGCGAACGGGUGAGUAAUACAUCGGAACGUACCUGAUAGUGGGGGAUAACUGACCGAAAGGUUAGCUAAUACCGCAUACGCCCCUGGGGGGAAAGUGGGGGACCAGCAAUGGCCUCACGCUAACAGAGCGGCUGAUGGCUGAUUAGCUAGUUGGUGAGGUAAAGGCUCACCAAGGCGACGAUCAGUAGCGGGUCUUAGAGGACGAUCCGCCACACUGGAACUGAGACACGGUCCAGACUCCUACGGGAGGCAGCAGUGGGGAAUCUUGGACAAUGGGCGCAAGCCUGAUCCAGCAAUGCCGCGUGGGUGAAGAAGGCCUUCGGGUUGUAAAGCCCUUUUGUUUGGGAGCAAAUCCUAACGGUUAAUACCUGUUGGGGAUGAGAGUACCAAAAGAAUCAGCACCGGCUAACUACGUGCCAGCAGCCGCCGUAA
rnacentral:rRNA from 1 species